rnacentral:lncRNA from 1 species
AGGGUACGUAGCCAGCUUUUCCCAGUUUCUUCUUUCCAAUUUUGCACCAAACUGAGGAGCCACAUCUGGGAUGAAUAUGACUUUUCUCUCCAUUAGCAAUCGCCUCUCUUGACCGUCUGGAAGUGCUCCUCAUGUUUCCUAGAAAGGAAUCUAUGAGAAUUAAAUCUUGGAGGCCUCUCUGGUUCCUUUCUCUUAUUUCCCUUGGUUUUCACCCUUCUUGAUGAAGAUGUCAUUCCUACAUCAAACACAAUUCAAAAGACCAAGGAAAUUAUAAUUAAAGGUUAGCACACCAUCAAACAUUUAAUAUC